UUUCACUUGUAUAAUAUUAUAAUGCUUUUCUUAAGGGGGAGGGGAAGGGUAGGAGGCAAAGAAUCUGGAAGUCAAAAUCUUUUCAGAUGAAUGCUCAAAAUAUUUAUAUGUAACUUGUAAUAUGUAAUUUAUUGUAAUAUGUAAUGUGUAUAUAUAUAAUUCCCAUCCAGCCUUCCUUUGAAAGAAAAAGGGUAAGUUAGAUCAGUUCAAUUGUGGAUUUAAUUUUCUCCAUUUCAACAAUAUGAUAUGCUUUGGUACCCAAAGUGUUUUUCAGAGAUAGAAACCUGAAGUUCCGCUCUAUGUUGAAUUGAAUUCCCAAUUUAGUACUAAUAGAAAUGAAUUGUAGAGCUGUUAAUUUCCACCUGGUUUUAUGUACACUUCAUCAAAUAUCUCUAACCUUUUAAAUCUCUUGGGUAAUUAAUUUUUUUCUAGCAACGUAGAAUUCUAAUUGAAACAUCGAUCAGCCGUUCCAUCAAACAAGGUAUAAUCAUAGGGAAGUAAUUUUUUUAAGACAACAUUUUGAUGCAUGAUGCUUCAUUGGUUGUUUAUUAAUUUUGAAUGGUCAAAAGCUAAGUCAGUUGUAAGUAUAAAAGUUUUGUGGGGCAAGAUAUAGUUGCAGUAUUUUCUCAUGCUUUUUAUUUUUAGGAAAAUUUGAAAAAGACACUGUAGCAUAAUCCAAGUACCAGCAAUCUCAAGAGAAAGAUGAAGAUUGAAAUUUGAACCAAGAAGGAUGAGAUGAAGAAACAUAAUUCUUUGACACACUUUAGUUAAGGUUUGAAUCUUCAAAGGAAUUUUAUAUUACUUGACCUCUGUUUGGGGGAGCAACAAUUUAUCUUUAAUAACCAACUAAAAGGAAGGUUCCAAUAACUUGUUUUCUGUGUUUAUGGUUUUUCUAUGACCUUCUCUCUUCUAAGCCAAACCCCUUACAUUUUUUUUCCUCUAAAAAUGAUCAUAAAUCCUCCUCAUCUGUAUCCAUAUAACAUUACUCUGAGCAUGCAGAAGGGUUCAUAUGUUUAGGUGUGAUUUCCAGAUCCAGCCACAGAAACUGGAAACAAAUUUGGCAGGAGUGUGAGCCUGUGAAGGAAUACUAGAGAAAGACUUUGAGAGCUCUAACCCAGUUACCUGAACUUUUCCACUUUUAUGUGCAGGAUCCACGGUAAACUUCCUUAGGCUGGUACUGGGAGGCCUCAAGGCUCUGGCUCCAAUGCACCUUUCUAGCCUUAUUUUGCACUGUACUCGAACUUCCCGGCCUUGCCCUCUCGCAUCUCGAGUUAUUCACAAAGCUGAAUCCCUACUCCAUCCAAACAUUGCUGCUACUCUCGGAGAACUCAUUUCAAUCUUCUGGGCCUCUCAGUGUUCUCAUCUAUGAAAUUAAGGUCACAGAAUUUGGAGCUGGAAAGAACCUCAGAGAAGCUCUGGUCGGAAUCACCAAAUUUGAGAGUUGGACCUCAACAGCCUGGCAUCUGGCCCAGCCCAAACCAUGCCAUCAUUAUCACAUGCCCAGCAAUCGGUCUAAGUGAAACUCGCCAAAGAAAGGGAACUGGCUUCCUCUCAAGGCAGCCCCCUCCACUUGGAGUUCCAAUUGACGUUCUUCUUGACGUCCAAUCUAAUUAUGCUUCUUUGCAUGUCUAAUCCCUGCUCUCCAUUCUGAGCCUGGGACCAAACCGAACAAAUGCACUUUUCCCAUUGGAAACCUUACUGCUAUUGUACUAACACCACACAAUAAAUGCAUUCUCGGAUAUCCCUUUGCUUUACUGACCUGGAGGGGAGACAGGCAAGAAUUACUAGAACAGUCUCUUCUCCCACUUCCAUCUAAGGCCUGGGGGGACUUUUAUGACAGGUAACAGGGUUAGAGAAGAAGGAACUUCCUGAGGAAGAGAGAGGUCCAAGGAUUAAGCAGGAAGCCUUGCUGGACCAUGCAGAGACCACAGGGCCUCAUUCCACCGAAUCCUGGUCUGGAAGAAGAGCCAUUUCCCUAAAAGUCAUCACUUCCUUCCAACAAAACUGCCGGUGGUGAAGGGAGGUGAGUGCUCUAAAUUCAGAUAUCCAGAAUCACUUUUGAUUUAGGGAAAAGUGCUGUGAAUGGUCACAAACUUCCUUCCACACCCGCCCCUCCCCAGUACAGGCUCUAGUUUCUAGACUCACCUCCAAGGUACACAUCUACUCCUAGUUAUGCUGGGCUGAAUACUUCAAUGAGUCCAUGAUUUCCAAGGGAGAGCCAGAGAAGAAGGAAAUUCCCAUGACCCACUGCACCACUAAUAACAUCUUUGCUCCUAUCUUCUGUGAUUCUCUUCUGUGUCCUUGAAGAAAUCCUUCACAGGAAAACUAUCCCUAUAGACUAGAAACCCGUUUUCCCGUUCUUUUCCUAUCAAAUGGUGGUGUUGUGACUGGGUCAUUUUGGUGUGUUUAGCGCUGUGUUUUCUUGGCACAGAUAAGCGUUUUGCCACUUCCUUCUCCCACUCAUUUUACUGAUGAGGAAACUGAGGCAAACAGGCAAACCGGUCCUGGAUCACAAAGACACUGAAUCAGACUGGAUUUGAAUUCAGUUCUUCCCCUCUCCAGCAGGCACUCUACUCGCUGUACCAUUCAGCUGCUCAGGACAAAUAUAAAUUUCUCCGUUCGGCUUUUAAGAAACCAAACCUGGCCCCUCCCUCCCUUGUGAGACAUCUUCCAUCUUCCUCCUCUCCAUGUUCUCUGAAGGUCAGUGACAUGAUACUCCAUCACUUACCUGCAUGUCUUUUCAGGGACUGAGCCUGUCCCUGUUCCUCUCUGCCUCCUGGCUUCCCAGGCUUUCUGGCUUCACCUCUCAGCUACAACCCCAUCUGAAGAAACCUUGCCUGGUCCAGCUCCAUGCUGUGGUCUUCCUUAUGGACUGACCUCCCCUUCCUCCUGCAUCUUGUUCACACAGAGAUGUUGAGGUGCUGUCUCCUCUGUCAGCCUGGGAGCCUCUGGGGAGCAGGGGUUGCUUUGUUGUCAUCAUUGCUGUUGUUUUCCUUUUCUUUGUGCCCCCAGCACUUUACCCACUGUCUGACACAUGGUAGGUCCUUAAACACUCGCCAAUUUGGCAACAAAGAUAAAAAUAUGUCAGGAUAAAGUAAAAUAAUAAAACUAUUUUUUCUUGUGAUCCAUCUUGUCUCAAAACUAACUUCAGGUAGUUACCUGGGAAUGAAUGGCUGCCUCUCACUCUGCCUUUCAUCACUUUUUCCUUUAUCACUUAUCACUCGUUCCUUCAAUCCCUAAUGCAUGAAGCAGCAAACAAUACCCCAGUUCAGUAAAAUAUUCCCCAGAGCAUAUUAUGCAUAGAGCUCUGUAGUGGACCUGCAAGAGAGAAGUGGCUGGGAGAGCAUGAACCUUGGAGGGAUAAU